GUGACAGAAGAGAGGGAGCACACAUAGUUGUUUUCUUGCAUAUGCAAAAUAUAAUGUUGUGUUCAUUCAUUAUUAACUUUCAAUAAAUGAUAUCAAUGCUCGAAGCUUUGUGUGCUCUCUAUCUCUCUGUCAC
rnacentral:pre_miRNA from 1 species